AAGGGGGAUUUGCAAGGUGGAGUGUGGGUGACUAUGGAGCUGCCUACAGCUCAUACGGUAAGCGAGGGGGAUUUGCAAGGUGGAGUGUGGGUGACUACGGAGCUGCCUACAGCUCAUACGGUAAGCGAGGGGGAUUUGCAAGGUGGAGUGUGGGUGACUACGGAGCUGCCUACAGCUCAUACGGUAAGCGAGGGGGAUUUGCAAGGUGGAGUGUGGGUGACUACGGAGCUGCCUACAGCUCAUACGGUAAGCGAGGGGGAUUUGCAAGGUGGAGUGUGGGUGACUACGGAGCUGCCUACAGCUCAUACGGUAAGCGAGGGGGGUUUGCAAGGUGGAGUGUGGGUGACUACGGAGCUGCCUACAGCUCAUACGGUAAGCAAGGGGGAUUUGCAAGGUGGAGUGUGGGUGACUACGGAGCUGCCUACAGCUCAUACGGUAAGCAAGGGGGAUUUGCAAGGUGGAUCGUGGUUUUGGAAUUAUUUGGCAAUCUCAAAAGACAUUAAAUUCAUG